rnacentral:rRNA from 1 species
UACAGAGGGUGCGAGCGUUAAUCGGAAUUACUGGGCGUAAAGCGCGCGUAGGCGGCUUUGCAAGUCGGGUGUGAAAUCCCCAGGCUUAACCUGGGAACUGCAUUCGAGACUGCAUUGCUAGAGUAUGGGAGAGGGAAGUGGAAUUUCCGGUGUAGCGGUGAAAUGCGUAGAUAUCAGGAGGAACACCUGUGGCGAAAGCGGCUCACUGGACCAUAACUGACGCUGAUGCACGAAAGCUAGGGGAGCAAACAGG